UACGUAGGGGGCAAGCGUUGUCCGGAAUUAUUGGGCGUAAAGAGCUCGUAGGCGGCUUGUCGCGUCGUUCGUGAAAACCCGGGGCUCAACUCCGGGCCUGCAGCCGAUACGGGCAGACUAGAGUUCGGCAGGGGAGACUGGAAUUCCUGGUGUAGCGGUGAAAUGCGCAGAUAUCAGGAGGAACACCGGUGGCGAAGGCGGGUCUCUGGGCCGAUACUGACGCUGAGGAGCGAAAGCGUGGGGAGCGAACAGG
rnacentral:rRNA from 1 species